rnacentral:misc_RNA from 1 species
AAGCUUGCUCAGCCUACCAAAGCUAUUGAAUGCAUAAAAGGUGAACCAGCGAUUGAAGAAUACUAUGACAUGUACUUGGAAGCUGAGGAAUAUGGGAAUCAGAUAUCAGAGGCAGUCAUGCAGUCCUCUGAUGCCCAGCGACUUCUUNAGUGGUAGUUGUGAAGUCGCAAUCAGCACAAGACCACUUGCUUGGAGUUGUUGUGAAGGGGCCUUCUACGAAUAUGAAGCAAUACAUAGUUUUAGUUCUGAAACCUGAUCUGCCAUCAUCAAUGCAGAUUUCCAACGUGCAAGAUAAAAGGAGUGGUGAUGGCCCACAAGCUUAUUUGCUUAUGCCAAAAUCAAAGCGUGGUGUAGAAGAUUACUUUUACCCUUCCACUUCGCGCAAAGGAUCGGGUGCUAUCAACAUAAAAUUACCACACCAAGGCAGUGCUGCUGGUGUUGGUUAUGAGGUUAGAGCAAUGGAUAGUAAAGAAUUCUUAUGUAUAUGCAAAAGUAAAAUAAAGAUUAACCCGGCUGGACUUCUUGAGGAUAUUAGUAAUACAGCUUUCUCGAAGACAGUUCAAGAGUUGUUGGAACUGAAAUCUGAAGGAAAAAAAUACCCUCCAGCCUUAGAUCCACGGGAAGAUCUGAAGAUGAAAGAUAUGAAUCUUGUGGAAGCAUAUAACAAAUGGACUAGGCUGCUGCAAAAGAUGUCAAUGAAUAAGUGUCAUGGGUGUAUAAAAUUGGAGGAGCACAUAACCUUGGCAAGAGAGAUAAAGAAGCAUAAAGAUGAAAUUGAUAAGUUAAAAUAUCAAAUGUCUGAUGAAGCAUUACAACAGAUGCCAGACUUUCAGGGCAGGAUAGAUGUUCUGAAGGAAAUUGGUUGUAUAGAUGCUGACCUUGUCGUACAAAUUAAAGGUCGUGUUGCUUGUGAGAUGAAUUCAGGGGAGGAGUUGAUAUGUACCGAGUGUUUAUUUGAGAAUCAGCUUGAUGACCUGGAACCUGAAGAAGCUGUGGCCAUAAUGUCUGCGUUUGUGUUUCAGCAGAGGAACACAUCUGAGCCUUCUCUUACUCCCAAGUUGUCUGAAGCUAAAAAGAGACUGUACAACACAGCAAUAAGGCUUGGAGAGCUUCAAGUCCACUUUAAAUUACUGAUAAAACCUGAAGAGUAUGCGCAGGACAAUCUGAAGUUUGGUCUUGUGAGAGUAGUUUAUGAGUGGGCAAAGGGAACUCCAUUUGCUGAUAUCUGUGAGCUUACUGACGUUCCUGAAGGCUUGAUAGUGCGAACCAUUGUCAGACUGGAUGAGACAUGUCGAGAGUUUAAAAAUGCCGCUGC